rnacentral:rRNA from 1 species
UACGUAGGGGGCAAGCGUUAUCCGGAAUUAUUGGGCGUAAAGAGCUCGUAGGCGGUCUGUCGCGUCGAUCGUGAAAACUUGGGGCUUAACCCUGAGCUUGCGGUCGAUACGGGCAUGACUGGAGUUCGGCAGGGGAGACUGGAAUUCCUGGUGUAGCGGUGAAAUGCGCAGAUAUCAGGAGGAACACCGGUGGCGAAGGCGGGUCUCUGGGCCGAUACUGACGCUGAGGAGCGAAAGCGUGGGGAGCGAACAGG